rnacentral:rRNA from 1 species
UUUGCCUACGGGGGGCAGCAGUGAGGAAUAUUGGUCAAUGGGCGGAAGCCUGAACCAGCCAAGUCGCGUGAGGGAAUAAGGCCCUACGGGUCGUAAACCUCUUUUGCCGGGGAGCAAGGGCGGGGACGUGUCCCGGCCCGGAGAGUACCCGGAGAAAAAGCAUCGGCUAACUCCGUGCCAGCAGCCGCGGUAAUACGUAGGGAGCAAGCGUUAUCCGGAUUUACUGGGUGUAAAGGGCGUGUAGGCGGGCAUGCAAGCCAGAAGUGAAAUCUGGGGGCUUAACCCCCAAACUGCUUUUGGAACUG